rnacentral:tRNA from 1 species
ACAUAGAUGCCAGAUAAUAUGGGUUGGUUUUAAGCAUCAAAUAUAGGAUUGUUCCUUCUGUGUA